AGUGAACGCUGGCGGUAGGCCUAACACAUGCAAGUCGAACGGCAGCACAGUAAGAGCUUGCUCUUACGGGUGGCGAGUGGCGGACGGGUGAGGAAUACAUCGGAAUCUACUUUUUCGUGGGGGAUAACGUAGGGAAACUUACGCUAAUACCGCAUACGACCUACGGGUGAAAGCAGGGGAUCUUCGGACCUUGCGCGAUUGAAUGAGCCGAUGUCGGACUAGCUGUUGGCGGGGUAAAGGCCCACCAAGGCGACGAUCCGUAGCUGGUCUGAGAGGAUGAUCAGCCACACUGGAACUGAGACACGGUCCAGACUCCUACGGGAGGCAGCAGUGGGGAAUAUUGGACAAUGGGCGCAAGCCUGAUCCAGCCAUACCGCGUGGGUGAAGAAGGCCUUCGGGUUGUAAAGCCCUUUUGUUGGGAAAGAAAAGCAGCAGGUUAAUACCCCGCUGUUCUGACGGUACCCAAAGAAUAAGCACCGGCUAACUUCGUG
rnacentral:rRNA from 1 species